CCUUCGGGAUUAGUGGCGGACGGGUGAGUAACACGUGGGAACGUGCCCUUUGGUUCGGAACAACUCAGGGAAACUUGAGCUAAUACCGGAUGUGCCCUUCGGGGGAAAGAUUUAUCGCCAUUGGAGCGGCCCGCGUCUGAUUAGCUAGUUGGUGGGGUAAAGGCCCACCAAGGCGACGAUCAGUAGCUGGUCUGAGAGGAUGAUCAGCCACAUUGGGACUGAGACACGGCCCAAACUCCUACGGGAGGCAGCAGUGGGGAAUCUUGCGCAAUGGGCGAAAGCCUGACGCAGCCAUGCCGCGUGAAUGAUGAAGGUCUUAGGAUUGUAAAAUUCUUUCACCGGGGACGAUAAUGACGGUACCCGGAGAAGAAGCCCCGGCUAACUUCGUGCCAGCAGCCGCGGUAAUACGAAGGGGGCUAGCGUUGCUCGGAAUUACUGGGCGUAAAGGGAGCGUAGGCGGACUGUUUAGUCAGAGGUGAAAGCCCAGGGCUCAACCUUGGAAUUGCCUUUGAUACUGGCAGUCUUGAGUACGGAAGAGGUAUGUGGAACUCCGAGUGUAGAGGUGAAAUUCGUAGAUAUUCGGAAGAACACCAGUGGCGAAGGCGACAUACUGGUCCGUUACUGACGCUGAGGCUCGAAAGCGUGGGGAGCAAACAGGAUUAGAUACCCUGGUAGUCCACGCCGUAAACGAUGAGUGCUAGUUGUCGGCAUGCAUGCAUGUCGGUGACGCAGCUAACGCAUUAAGCACUCCGCCUGGGGAGUACGGUCGC
rnacentral:rRNA from 1 species